rnacentral:lncRNA from 10 species
ACACAUAUUUAAUAUAUACCUAUGUAUAUAUGAUAUAUACACCUAUGUAUACAUAUAUACAUCUAUGUACAUAUAUACACCUGUUAUAUAUGUAUGUAUAUUAUAUGUAUACCUAUAUUAUAUAUAAUACAUAUGUAUAAGAUAUAUUUUAUAUAUAUAUACACACACACACACACACACACCUCCUAAUGGAUGAGAAACCCCCUGAACUUUGCAAUGGUGAUACCAGUGGAAAGAAGUUGCCUUUUGAUGGUUAAGAGAAUUCUUAGCAAAUGUGAAUAUGCCCAUAAUCUUCACAGACG